rnacentral:rRNA from 1 species
CGUAGGGGCAAGCGUUGUCCGGAUUUAUUGGGCGUAAAGAGCGUGUAGGCGGCCAGACAGGUCCGUUGUGAAAACUAGAGGCUUAACCUCUAGACGUCGAUGGAAACCGUCUGGCUAGAGUCCGGAAGAGGAGAAUGGAAUUCCUGGUGUAGCGGUGAAAUGCGCAGAUAUCAGGAAGAACACCCGUGGCUAAGGCGGUUCUCUAGUACGGUACUGACGCUGAGACGCGAAAGCGUGGGGAGCGAACAGGAUU